rnacentral:rRNA from 1 species
CGAAAGCCUGACGGAGCAACGCCGCGUGAGGGAUGAAGGCCUCUGGGCUGUAAACCUCUUUUCUCAAGGAAGAAGAUCUGACGGUACUUGAGGAAUAAGCCACGGCUAAUUCCGUGCCAGCAGCCGCGGUAAUACGGGAGUGGCAAGCGUUAUCCGGAAUUAUUGGGCGUAAAGCGUCCGCAGGCGGUUCUGUAAGUCUGCCGUUAAAGCGUGGAGCUUAACUCCAUUUCGGCGGUGGAAACUGCAGGACUUGAGUGUGGUAGGGGCAGAGGGAAUUCCCGGUGUAGCGGUGAAAUGCGUAGAUAUCGGGAAGAACACCAGUGGCGAAGGCGCUCUGCUGGGCCAUAACUGACGCUCAUGGACGAAAGCCAGGGGAGCG